rnacentral:lncRNA from 1 species
ACUUUUUAUUUUUUUUUUAUUUUUAUUUUUUGUCUUUUGUCCUUUUAGGGCUGCAUCCACAGCAUAUGGAGGUUCCCAGGCUAGGGGUGGAAUCAAGGGCUACAGCUGCGGGCCUAGGCCACAGCCACAGCAACUCAGGAUCUGAGCCAUGUCUACAGCCUACACCACAGCUCAUGGCAAUGUUGAAUCCUUAACCCACUGAGGGAGGCCAGGGAUAGAACCCAUGAUCUUGUGGAUACUAGUCGGGUUCAUUAACCACUAAGCUAUGAUGAGAACUCCAAUAAUCUUUUAAAAUCGAAUAUAUACAUAACUUUGAAAAAUCAAAAUAUAGUUGAUUUACAAUGUUGUGUUAAUUUCUGCUAUACAGCAAAGUGAUUUGCUUAUACAUACAUUCUUUUUUAUAUUCUUUCCAUUAUGGUUUAUUGAAUGAUAUUGAGUAUAGCUCCCCAAUUAAACUUUAAUAAAUUUUUAAAAAACCCACAAGACUGUGGGCUUUGGAGACCUAGCACUGUUACCCACCAGCUGUAUGACACCAGCAAGCUACCUCAUGUGUGUCUGUGCCACAGAGUCCUCAUCUAUAAAACAGGGGUAAGGAGUUCCAGUUGUGGCUCAGUGGUAACAACCCGACUAGUAUCCAUGAGGAUGCGGGUUCAAUCCCUGGCCUCACUCAGUGGGUUAAGGAUCUGCAUUACCAUGAGCUGUGGCAUAGGUUGCAGACACAGCUUGGAUCUGGCAUUGCUCUGGCUGUGGUGUAGGGCAGCAACUGCAGCGGCAAUUCAACCCCUAGCCUGGGAACUUCUGUAUGCCACAAGUGCUAUCCUAAAAAGCAAAAUUAAUUAAUUAAUUAACCAGGCUAAUAAACAGGACUUAGCUUACUGGGUUGUGAGAAUAAGAAGAGUUAACAUCAAGUGCACAGAAUAAUACCUAGCACAUAAUACCUGUUCAAUACAUUUUUGCAACCAUAGUGAAUAUGACUGGUACUAUGUAAGGUUAGACAAGCCUGUUUUAACUUUAAAAUGACUCAGCAAUAGAACUCAGCUUUUACAGAAAGAGAUUAUGAACUGACUGACCAUGGGUUCAUGAGAUUAUUGUCAGUAAUUAGCUAGCUGAAUUCUUGGUAAACAUUCCUCAUGGCAUCUUGGUAAACCACAGUGCAACUCAGCCACCCACUACACUAAAGCAUCACUUCACUUCACAGGACUCUGCAAUUUAAAUGGAUGAGUGCCUGUUAGAACUAAAGCAUUUUAGGUGGAGUCUGACAAUAAAAUUACACCAAAUUAUACAGAGAGAAGUAUAUUUUUCUUAAAAAAAAAAACAACAAAAAAACUAUAUAGCAGGCCUUUAAGAAAUGUUGGCUGAAUGCAUGUAAAAUUCACUGUACAGAGGAACAUAAAUUUAAAAGCAGAGUGCCCCACUCUACUUUUUUAAAUCCCUAGACCAUUGCAGGAUAACUGUCACCACUGGAUGCAUUACUGCCCACGUUCCCAGGGUGAAAGGCUAUCUUAAAUUAUGUAGAAGGUACCUUGCAAGCCUACUUAAAGAAAAGUGGGGGGGGGGAAUCUGUCACAGGUUCUCGCUUAUCUUUCUCUAUUUUCUACAUUUCUCCUAAGUAACAGUCUCAUAGAAAAAUACCAGCAAAUCCAGAAUCAUCCUCUGAUGGAAUAAUGAAAUGUGAGGCGCUGAAGGAAAUAGGGCUUCCUAACAAUUCCACUUUACAGCUUCCUUACUGAGUGAAUCCUUUAUCUGGAGGCCCAAGCAGGGAGCAAGUUCCAGGGCUCCAAGUUCACAGGCCAGUGCUCUGCCUUAGGUGCACAUUUAAAGACCGAAGCUUAAGGUUCUUUUAUUUGGUGUUUUAUGCCUAGAUCAAACGCAUUUUAAUAUUAAAGAUGACCAUGUGUGCCUUUUGGCCUGUGAAAUCCAAAUAUACUUGGGAGAUCCUUAAGCUGUUUCAUUUAACAAUAAUCACUCGGGACCUCCAGACCAGGCCAAAUCUGGAAGCCAAACCAUCAGAAUGUCUGAAAUGCAAAUGUAAGGUAAUUAAUAAAAAUGCCAAUAGUUUCUUUGGCUAAAGCCUGGUUCAACAUUAAAAACUAGUCUAGCAGGAACUUUGAUGAGGAAAACUGAGUCAGAAACUCCCGUUACUCUUUUUCUCCUGAAGAAUCAUCCUUGCCCAAACUGGAGGCUGUUCACUCAGAAUCAUCAACAUCCCAAAAAUCCAGCAUCUAAGAUUUCAAUUCAGAGGACUGUAUUUUUGGAUGAACAGUGCUCAUACUGAUUAUUUUGCCCCUUUUAACAACACUUCUUUCCUUCUCAAUCAUCAUGUCCAGGUCUGGACUGUACCGUAUGCAGUAACAAUACGGAGUACGGUUAUGAAAGUGGGCUUGGCUAUCCCAGACCAGGUGUGAGUCUCCACUCCACUUGUCACCAGCUGUGUGGUCCUGGGGAGGUUACUUAAUCACUCUCUGACUCAGAUUCCUCGCCCUAAAAAUGGAGAUAAUAAAAAAAAAAAAAAAUGAAGAUAAUAAAGCCCUACCUCAUAAGACUGCUGAGAGGAUAAGUAAGUAAAUAGAUGAAAAGCCCUUAGCAAAAUAACCUGGCAGAGAGUAAGGAGUCUACACUUGCGUCCUCGUUAUGAGUAUGGUAGCGUGGUGCAGCAGAAAAAGGAAAAGGAGCUAGAAGUACAUUCUGUUCUCCUCAAGUAACAAAAACAACAACAAAUAUUUGGAAAAUGAGUUACGAACUAGACCGCAAAGAAUACAAACAUUUAUUUUAAGGCCUUGAAUUCUGGCUUUAAAUCAUUGCUCCCUACUUUGUACAAACUCUUUUCGUUAAUUACUUCAACUGCUCACUGCCAAGACUGGGAAAGUUGAUACAGACCUACUGUCUACCAGGCGAACACAUCGAGUGCUGCCACACAUAGAAGGUGGAUUCUACAGGGAUGGUAACCUGCAGGUACACUCCAUCAACAUCAAGUCAGCCAGAAGUCAUGAGGCGCCAUCUGUGUGUAUGGCGGGACCAUACAUAGAACCUACAGUGGAGCAAAAUGCAAUCCUGGAUCCCGGGAAACUGAGUGCAAGUUAUACGUAAAUACACUUUGGAGAAAUAGCUGCAAGGUUGUUUUUAUCAUGUAUGUUCACAUAUUUUAAUUUACCAAAACAACUUUUACCCGUCUCCUUAACCAGGAGGGUUCUGGUUUAAUCAGAAUAAUUAUGUUAAAGUGACCAUUAGAUCUAAUUGUUUAUAAUAGGGUUUUCACUCAUACUUCCCAGGUAUAAACCC